rnacentral:hammerhead_ribozyme from 1 species
CUACCAUUGAGGAGUCUCACGAUAGGACGAAACGACCGUCUAGUAC